rnacentral:snRNA from 1 species
UGUCAUCAUUAUAAUGCACAAA